NNNNNNNNNNNNNNNNNNNNNNNNNNNNNNNNNNNNNNNNNNNNGCUCACUGCCCUCCCUGCAGGCAUCAGUGCUGGUGUAAGGAAAGGCCGGAUCCUCACCACUCCUGCAGCACCAGCUCAGCCUGCACGGGCUCAGGACAUGGGGCACCAGAGGCUGGCCUCUGAUGUCCUCGGGGCUGCCUGGGAUGUGUCCCACUCCGUGUCCUGCCCCGCGUCCUUCCCCGCAUCCUGCACCACGUCCUGCCCCACGUCCUGUACUAUGUCCUGCCCCGUGUCCUGUGCCAUGUCCUGUGCCAUGUCCUGCGCCAUGUCCUGUCCUGUGUCCUGUGCCAUGUCCUGCCCCGUGUCCUGUGCCGUGUCCUGCCCCGUGUCCUGUGCCAUGUCCUGUGCCGUGUCCUGCCCCGUGUCCUGUGCCGUGUCCUGCCCCGUGUCCUGUGCCAUGUCCUGUACUAUGUCCUGCCCCGUGUCCUGUGCCAUGUCCUGCCCCGUGUCCUGUGCCAUGUCCUGCCCCGUGUCCUGUGCCAUGUCCUGUGCCAUGUCCUGCGCCAUGUCCUGUCCUGUGUCCUGUGCCAUGUCCUGUGCCAUGUCCUGCCCCAUGUCCUGUUCCAUGUCCUGCCCUGUGUCUUGUGCCACAUCCUGCUCCAUGUUCUGUGCCAUGUCCUACUCCUUGUCCUGCCCUGUGUCCUGUGCCAUGUCCCAUGCCAUGUCCUGUCCCAUGUCCUCUUCCAUGUCCUGCCCUGUGUCCUGUGCCAUGUCCCGUGCCAUGUCCUGUCCCAUGUCCUCUUCCACGUCCUGCCCUGUGUCCUGUGCCGUGUCCUUCCCUGCAUUCUGCCCCAUGUCCUGCCCCAUGUCCUGCCCCAUGUCCAGUCCCACGUCCAUCUCCACAUCCUGCCCCGUGUCCCACACCAUCCCACAACCAGUGCCCCACCUGUGGCCACGCUCCCCUCCCAGGGGACAGCCCCCACUGGCCCGGAUCCCCCCUGCCCCACCGGGUCGGGGGUCCAUGGGCCACCCCGGGUCCCGUGGCCGGGCCGGCCGGGGGCUGGUGGCCCAGUCCCCACGGCGAACCCCCAGCUGCGCUGGCCGAGGCGCAGGCGCCGGACCCGGGCAGGUUGCUAAACAAGUUAAUUAGAUCAAGGAGAUGGAGGCUGGCUGGUGAAAGAGAGCCCCAACUGUCAGGCUGCUGGAGUUGUGAAAAAGUUAAUUCAAUUAAGUUUUCCCUCUAAACUAAUUAGGCAGCA
rnacentral:lncRNA from 1 species